GCUGGCGGAUUAGAGCGGGCGGAUUAGGGCGGGCGGAUUAGGACGACCGCACAGUGCUGAGUGGGACGGCUUCGGGCGCGACUCCGUGGGGGCCUCCGUGGGGAGCCAGCGUGGAUCGAGGCCGAUCCCCACGGCCGACCCCGCGGUGAUUUAAAGGAGACUGGUGGCGAGAUGUUCCAGCAGAGUGACACCCAUGUACACGGGUACACCAAGAGCCACUUAGGGGGCUCUCCCUUUGCGCCUUGGGAACCUGUGUUUGCAUUAAGAGGUGAGAAAAAGAGCUGUGCUCUGAACCCAGUCCCUCGAAACUUGCAGCGAGCAAAUGCUACCAUAAUUUUCUUGAAGAAGAAAAUUAUUUCCGGGAGAUAGUAAGGCUGGGCAGUCAGGAAACGAAUGCGUUGAGCACACAACGUCCUGAAGAAAUAGACACUAUGUGAAAACUACGAGUAGGUUACCCCAGUAGAAAGACAGAUGCCAUCUCCCAAGGUCAAGAGAUUCUAUAGGACUUCACAUAUACCUCCUGCUGCGUAAAAUGUUCUGAUUCCUAAAGUGGGGGACAUUUUUAGGGAGACGAUAGUAUAGUUUAUUUUUUUUCCAUCCCACAACUGCUGGAGGCUGCAAUGACCUGAGCCCUAAAAGUGACUGUCCAGCACCGUGGGUACUUGCAUAUGUACUCUUUGAGGAGGGGGGCAGAUAUGGCUAAGUCAAGCUGUCUUUGUCAGAUCUUAUUCAUACAUACGCGUACUCGAUCUCUUUGGAUCCCUAUCUGCUCCCCCCCCAAGACACACACACACACACACACACACACACACACACACA